rnacentral:rRNA from 1 species
UACGGGGGGGGCAAGCGUUGUUCGGAAUUACUGGGCGUAAAGGGCGCGUAGGCGGCGCGGGUAGUCAUCGGUGAAAGUUCAGGGCUCAACUCUGAAUCGGCCGGUGAUACUCCCGUGCUCGAGCACUGUAGAGGCAGGUGGAAUUCCGGGUGUAGCGGUGGAAUGCGUAGAGAUCCGGAAGAACACCGGUGGCGAAGGCGGCCUGCUGGGCAGUAGCUGACGCUGAUGCGCGACAGCGUGGGGAGCAAACAGG